UACGGAAGGCAGCAGUGGGGAAUAUUGGACAAUGGGCGGAAGCCUGAUCCAGCCAUGCCGCGUGUGUGAAGAAGGCCUUUUGGUUGUAAAGCACUUUAAGCGAGGAGGAGGCUCUCCUAGUUAAUACCUAGGAAGAGUGGACGUUACUCGCAGAAUAAGCACCGGCUAACUCUGUGCCAGCAGCCGCGGUAAUACAGAGGGUGCGAGCGUUAAUCGGAUUUACUGGGCGUAAAAGCGUGCGUAGGCGGCUGAUUAAGUCGGAUGUGAAAAUCCCCUGAGCUUAACUUAGGAAUUGCAUUCGAUACUGGUCAGCUAGAGUAUGGGAGAGGAUGGUAGAAUUCCAGGUGUAGCGGUGAAAUGCGUAGAGAUCUGGAGGAAUACCGAUGGGCGAAGGGCAGCCAUCUGGGCCUAAUACUGACGCUGAGGUACGAAAGCAUGGGGAAGCAAACAGGAUUAGAAUAACC
rnacentral:rRNA from 1 species